AGGUUUACAAGGUCCUGUCUGUCUCAGAACUCCCUUCCCUGAAGCCUUCCUGAGUUUCAGACCAUGCCUGUUGCACAGAGGUAGAGAAGGGCAUGAACUUUGGUUUCAGACACUCAGGAGUGGGAUUCUAGUCACACCUUCUGCCAGUAGCACAACACAUGUGGGCAACUCCUUACUUUGUAAAAUGGGCUACAACUCUCUACCUUGCCUUGUUCUCCUGUUUGGCCUGUUCCACCUUUAUUAGCUUGCUUGUCUGUUCCUCAGAUAUCCGAUGUCUUUCCUGCCUUGGGGCCUUUGUGCUUUUCUGUAUGGUCUGCUUGACAUGUUCUUUCUGUCACCUUCACCUUUGUGAGCUAGCUUUCUGUUACUGCAGCAACCAUCUGAGCAGAUUAACUUACACAGAGGAAAAGUUCAUUUUGGCCUAUAGCCUAGGAGGUUUCAGCUCAUGAUCUGUUGACCUUGGUGGUAAGAAUGUGAGCUCCAAGAAGGCCACGCCCUCUCUCAGCUUGUGCAGCGCCAUAUUCCCAGGGCCUCAUGUCAUGCAUGGCAUAUUGUAGACAAUAAACAUCUGCUAAAUGAA